rnacentral:lncRNA from 1 species
UUCACCUGCUUCUCUCUCCCAUAGUCAUGGGCUCAAAAAUCCCUGGACUGGAGAGCAGAUGGACGAGUGCACCUUGAGAGCAGGGCAAGAAGAGACUAAAAUCCUUGGCACGGGAGAGCGUGGUGUCAGAGAACAGACUGAGCAGGUGGCGAAGAGCCAGGCCUUGGAGAGCCCGUGCCAUCACUCUGACACUGCUCGCUGCCACGACCUUGCUCUAAUCCCUUAACCUCCUCUUGGCUUUGAUCCUCCCUUCCCUUGGUGAAAGUGGGCGUGAAAGCUCACUGGCACCCAGGGUCAGAAGGACUAGGUGGCAGAUGCGAGUCCAGCCCUCUGAGGAGGGAGAGAACUGCAUUAGUGCUGAUUAUUAUUUUAUUACCUCUCUCCCCUAAACAUAUUGUCACCCGCUUGCAGUGUGCCACAUCCCUGCGAGGGCUCCUGGCUGCCAGGCUGGAUUCAGGGCCACUUUACCAGGACUGGGAAGCGUGUCCAGGAUUGACGGAGCUGCUCCACGCUGGGUCCCAUGAGACAGGCAGGACAGCCCUGUCCUUCCUGCCUGGGGACACAGCACCAUCCUCUUCCUCCUCUGCGCGGGUGGCCCCACCGGACUCUGAAGCGAAGCUGUGAAGGACUGCUGCAACGUGCAUGAGUGGAAAGCAAAGGAGAGACCAAAGCCCACCAAGCCUCUGGCGUCCGAUCCCCCAGCAUCCUGACUUCAUCUGACUUGGGUAGGUCAACCACUUGGA